rnacentral:lncRNA from 1 species
AAAGGAUUGAAAACAAGCAUGAAUUCACAGAUUCGGGAGGUAACGGAAGUCCUGGGAACCAACCUGUCUCGUCAGGCAGCUCUGUUAACCACUCCACCCUCAGCAGAGUGACCAGAUACACGGAGACCUCGACCUGGGUGUUACAAGUGGAUUACCUCUUUGUUCUGCUACUGAAUCAUUGUAAAUACUUCGGGCAAGUAAAUUAACCUGCUGAGUUUAUUAUCUCAUGAAUAUACAAGUAAAGACAGUGAACUAAACCAGGAACUCCAGAGGAGACCUAAGGUUUGAGAAAGAAGAAUGAGUAUGCAUUCAGUUCCAUGCAGACGCAACACCGUAAUUCUAAUGCAUUUGACCAUUUCAACUUCACAGUCACACAGUAAGGUGAGCUUUCUUGCCAUUUUCCAGAUAAGGAAUUCAAGAUGCAGAGGGGCUUGGAGAUCUCCUCAGGGACACACAACCAAAUCCACAAAUCCCAGAAUCUCUUAGGUGGUUCCUGCGUCCACCAACCUUGAGAUGUAAUGGGCCAGCAAUGGUCUUUUGCUCAGAGACAGAAUCUCACUACAUUGCCCAGGCUGGUCUCAAAC